GCCUCUCAUGAUGAUCAUGUGAAACUUUCUUCUGAGAUGUUUUCAUGCGGAAGAUUUUUGGAGACCUGAGCUGAAGAGGC